rnacentral:rRNA from 1 species
GACAGAGGGUGCAAACGUUGUUCGGAAUUACUGGGCGUAAAGCGCGUGUAGGCGGCUCGGCAAGUCGGGUGUGAAAGCCCUGGGUUUAACCUAGGAAGUGCACUCGAAACUGCCAAGCUUGAGUUCUGGAGAGGAAGGCGGAAUUCUCGGUGUAGAGGUGAAAUUCGUAGAUAUCGAGAGGAACACCGGUGGCGAAGGCGGCCUUCUGGACAGCAACUGACGCUGAGACGCGAAAGCGUGGGGAGCAAACAGG